rnacentral:rRNA from 1 species
AUGGCCGGGGACGACACCGGCAGCAAGUCGCCACCAACGCCACGCGCAAAGGUCUCCGACGGCUCAGAGCUAGUCGUGGCAGAGAGAUCCAUGGCGCGGGUGGUGCGCGACACCGGCGGCGCGGCGUGGCCGCAGCUGACGAGGACCAACUACACCGACUGGGCUGUUCUCAUGCAGCUCAUGAUGGAGGGGCGACACCUCUGGGAGGUCGUGGUGACGGGCACAGCAGAGCGCAGCGACGAUCGGCUCGCGCUCGAGGCCAUUCUGCGUGGAGUACCACCGGAGAUGGGACCCACCCUCGCCGGCAAGGCCACGGCGAAGGAUGCGUGGGACUCCGUCAAGACGAUGCGUCUCGGAGUGGCUCGCGUCCGCGAGGCGAAGCUCGCAACUUUGUCCAAGCAGUACAAAGACAUUCACUUCGCAGACGGCGAGACCAUCGACGAUUUCGCCAUGCGGAUCACGAACAUGGUGGCCCAGAUGGCGCAGCUCGGAGAGACCGUCCCGGAGAAGCGCAUCGUCCGCAAAUUUCUCUCCGUCGUCCCGAAGAGGUAUUCGCAGAUCGCCUUGUCAAUUGAAACCCUUGUUGAUCUGGAUACACUCUCCGUGGAGGAGCUCACCGGACGGCUGAGGGCUGCCGAGGAGCGGUACGACCUCGACCAGGGGGAGCCAGACGCCGGGCGUCUCAUGUUCACGGCGGAGGAGUGGCUCGCGCGCAUGAAGCGCAGCGAGAACGAUGGAUCCGGAGGGAGCGGAUCCAGCUCAGGACGCGGCGGCGGACGUCGCGGGCGAGGCCGCGGGCGUGGCGGCGGACGUGGCUCCGGCAGCCGCGCAAAACCCACGGACCAGUGCCGUCACUGCAAGAAGUACGGGCACUGGGCGCGUGAGUGCAGGACUCGCAUCCGCGAGGAGCGAGCGGAGGCGAAUUUCGCCGAACAAGGCGGGCACGACGACGACCCGACGCUCUUGAUGUCGGUGAUCGCCGCGAUCCCAGCGCAGAGCGCGGGGGAGCACAUCAUGCUCCAUGAGGAGCGUGCAGAGGCGAAUCUGGGCGCCGAGGAGACGCCGUGCGACGGCCGGUGGUUUCUGGACACCGACGCGUCCAACCACAUGACGGGCGAUCGUUCGGCAUUCGCGGAACUGGACGAGGGCGUCACUGGCAGCGUCAAGUUCGGGGACGGCUCCAGCGUGGCCAUUCAUGGUCGCGGCACGGUCACGUUCACCGUGCGCAGCGGCAACCACCGUGCUCUCACUGACGUCUACUUCAUCCCGCGCCUCAAGACGAGCAUCAUCAGUCUUGGACAACUGGACGAGCAUGGCUGCACCACCAAGAUCCACGGCGGCGUUCUGACGUUGUACGAUCGUCGCCAGAACGAACUGGCCCAGGUACGCCGAAAUGGCAGGCGCUUGUAUGUUGUACGUCUGGACAUUGUGCAUCCGAUUUGUCUGGCAGCACACGGCGGGGACGAGGCAUGGAAGUGGCAUGCCAGGUUCGGCCACCUGCACUUUGACGCGCUCCGGCGCAUGGGGCGCGCUGACAUGGUGCGCGGGAUGCCAGUGGUGGAUCACGUCGAGCAGAUCUGCGACGCGUGCCUGGUGGGGAAGCAAAGGCGUGCCCCUUUUCCCUCCCAGGCGCACUACCGGGCGGCAGGGCCGCUCGAGCUGGUGCACGCCGAUCUGUGCGGGCCUAUCGCUCCAGCAACCCCUGGCGGCAAGCGCUACUUCAUGCUCGUCGUCGACGACCACAGCCACUAUAUGUGGGCUAUGCUACUGCCGGCGAAGGACGCUGCCGCGGCCAGCAUCAAGCACUUCGUCGCCGCGGCUGAGGCAGAGCAAGGCGCGAAAUUGCGCGCGUUCCGGACGGACCGGGGCGGCGAGUUCACCUCCAGCGCGCUCGGCGAGUACUUCGCAGACCAAGGCGUGGAGAGGCAUCUGACGGCGCCCUACUCACCACAGCAGAACGGCGUGGUCGAACGGCGCAACCAGACCGUCGUCGGCAUGGCGAGGAGCAUGCUCAAGGCGAAGAACAUGCCGAGCUGUUUUUGGGGGGAGGCCGUGGCGACUGCGGUGUUCAUCCUCAACAGAUCUUACACCCGCAGCGUCGACGGCAAAACCCUGUACGAGGCGUGGUAUGGCAAGAAACCAGCCGUACACUUCUUACGUGUCUUCGGCUGUGUCGCCUACGUCAAGAACACGCGACCCGGGCUGAAGAAGCUCGACGACCGCAGCACCAAGAUGGUCUUCAUCGGCUACGAGGCGGGCUCGAAGGCGUACAGAGUGUACGAUCCACUGACCAAGCGCGUGUACGCCUCACGCGACGUGGUGUUUGAUGAGGGCGCAAGCUGGGACUGGGGCGCCACGGGCGGGCACACGGCGGAGCCGUUCGUCGUUCACCACGAGCUCCCGCUCACCACUGAAGGGCGGAGCGUGCACACUGCGGCAAGCGACCCGAGCGGGGAUCAAGAAGGAGGCCACGACACCGUGGUGGACUCACCGGCCACGCCCAACAACAGGACUGUGGGUGCUACUCCCGCCACACCCCAGAGCACGGCCGUCUCCAGCUCUCCAGCGACACCGUGGACCAGCGCGUCUCCGGCCUUCUCGGACGGGCUGGGCAACAGGACGCCUCCUGACGAGGCUCCAGGGGCGAUCAAGUUUGUCUCACCACCCGCGACACAGUACGACUUGUACGACGCCGACGACGAUCAGUUCACAGAGCACCGCUUCCGCCUCCUCGCGGACAUGUACCCCGACGCGGCCAAGUCGUCUGCGCCCGAGGAACGCCUACUGCUGGUCGAAGAGGAGCCGGCUACAUUUGCUGAAGCAGCGCCCCAUGAGAGCUGGCGGAGUGCGAUGCUCGAGGAGCUGGCAUCUAUUGAAGAGAACGGCACCUGGACACUCACCGAUCUGCCCGCAGGCCAUACUGCCAUCAGCCUCAAGUGGAUCUUCAAGCUGAAGAAGGAUGCUGCUGGCGUCAUUGUCAAACACAAGGCACGACUAGUAGCAAGAGGUUUUGUGCAGAAGGAGGGCGUUGACUUCGACGAUGCGUUCGCGCCCGUGGCAAGACUUGACUCUGUUCGUGUCAUGAUCGGCACGGCGGCGCAGCACGGCUGGGAACUGCACCACCUCGACGUCAAGUCAGCGUUUCUGAACGGUGAGCUCAAGGAGGAGGUGUACGUCACCUAG